UACGUAGGUGACCAGCGUUGUCCGGAUUUACUGGGCGUAAAGAGCGCGCAGGCGGUCGUUCAAGUCGAGUGUGAAAGCCCCCGGCUCAACUGGGGAGGGUCACUCGAUACUGAUCGACUUGAAGGCAGGAGAGGGAAGCGGAAUUCCCGGUGUAGUGGUGAAAUGCGUAGAUAUGUGGAGGAACACCAAUGGCGAAGGCAGCCCCCUGGGUCAACACUGACGCUCAUGCACGAAAGCGUGGGGAGCAAACAGG
rnacentral:rRNA from 1 species